AACGAGCGCUGGCGGCAUGCCUAACACAUGCAAGUCGAACGAGACCUUCGGGUCUAGUGGCGCACGGGUGCGUAACGCGUGGGAACCUGCCCUUAGGUUCGGAAUAACUCCCCGAAAGGGGUGCUAAUACCGGAUAAUGUCUUCGGACCAAAGAUUUAUCGCCUUUGGAUGGGCCCGCGUUGGAUUAGCUAGUUGGUAGGGUAAAAGCCUACCAAGGCGACGAUCCAUAGCUGGUCUGAGAGGAUGAUCAGCCACACUGGGACUGAGACACGGCCCAGACUCCUACGGGAGGCAGCAGGGGGGAAUAUUGGACAAGGGGCGAAAGCCUGAUCCAGCAAGGCCGCGUGAGUGAUGAAGGCCUUAGGGUUGUAAAGCUCUUUUACCCGGGAUGAUAAUGACAGUACCGGGAGAAUAAGCUCCGGCGAACUCCGU
rnacentral:rRNA from 1 species